CUCUCUCACACAUCCUCGCUCUGUGCGUGCGCUCUCAUCACAGCACACAGGCGAUCCUUUGUCUCUCUCUCUCUCCUCGCCCUCGCAUGCGCUAAUAUUAUCUCAAAAUUACCACGAAGGGCGAGCUUUACCCGCCAAAAAGGUCCUCCGAAGUCGCCGACGCGGCGCAUGGGCUUCUCGCUCUGACGGAUGGAUUCGGCGAUCGCGCUCUCUCCCGAGGCUCCGGAGCCGCCUCGGGCGGACGGCCCGGCCGCGUCUCCCGCGGGGCAGAAGCGAGGGGCGCUGGAUGGAGGAAGCGGGGAAGCGGCGGUUCCGGCGGCGAAGAAGCCGAGGUUCGAGCGGGCGGAGUUCGGAAGGGUGGCGGAGAUCGUGCUGGUGCUGGCGGCGAUGGGGAGGAUGCGCGGAGGGAGGGAUCCGACGGAGGCGGAGCUGGGUUUGAUGGCGGAGGCGAGGGAGAAGCUGGCGUCCGCGUGUGCAACCCUAGCUCCGGAGGAUAUUGUGGCUGGCGAUGCUGUUGGGCGCGUGAUUGAGGAUUUGGGGCUCAAUGGAAAGCCUAAGGAUCAGAGGUUAGGUUAUACGGUUCCGAAAUCGUCGAUUGCCGAGAAGCUGACGUUUGCAAAGAGGAAGAUGGAAGAAUCGAAGAAGUUCCCUUCCCAUACAGCUUCUUAUUCACCCCACUUGUCACAAUCAAGUUUUGGUGCUACUGCCGAAAACCGUGGGAUGCCACCUGUUGUUCGGACGUUUCCGUCUGAUAAAGUUAAUCAGUCUCCCCUUUCUUCCGGAGUCAUCCCAGUUUCUUCAGCUACAGCUAAUGUUUCUUCCGGAAGCUCUGCGCCGUACCUGCUUCCACGAAGUGAAAUAAGGACAUCAACUGCUUCUAGUGGGAUAUCUAAUAGUCAUAUAGGAAGAGAUUCUUCUGCAAUGCUUUUGCCCAAGGUUGAUCAAGCAAUUAGUGUGAAUCAUGCAGGACCUCAUAUUUCAACUAAACCUUCACAAGCAACUUAUGCAAAUCAACCAUCUGUGAAUGCUCCUUCCUGGUCCUUACAAACCCAACAUGCCUCGUUAUCUAGACUAGGAACAGGAAGUAGUAUUCCUAGUAAUACAUUGGGCCAAGUUGAGCAAGCCUCUACCUCAGGGUCUGGAGCACCUCCUCUCGCAGCAAGAAACCCAACAAAUAGACCAUUCACUGUGCAAACUGCUGCUACACGUUUGCCCACCAUGCAUCAUCAACCUUUUCAGGGUGUCAACUUUGUUUCUCCACCUUCAAGUUAUGCUAGUCACUACGAAAUUGCCAAAAUUAUUCAGAAGCUCUUAACUCCAAAGCUUCCCGAGCAUCCUACAUGGACUCCUCCUUCAAGGGAGUAUAUGAAUAAGGCAUUGAUUUGCCAGCUUUGCCAAGCAACUGUCACUGAUGUGGAAAGUGUGUUACUCUGUGAUGCUUGCGAGAAAGGAUACCACUUGAAAUGCUUGCAGUCGCAGAAUCAGAAAGGGAUACCUAAAGCUGAAUGGCAUUGCCAGAAAUGCUUGGCAUUGAGCCAUGGGAAGGCCUUGCCCCCGAAAUAUGGUCGUGUGAUGAGAAACUUAGGUGGUACAAAAGUGGCCCCUAAUGCUACUGGUAGUCCUUCAUAUUCUGAGAAGAAGGUUAGAGCUGUGGAUUCAAAGUUUAAUCAGACAAAGAUAACUACGAAUGGUGUCUCCUUCUCACAAAAUACUGCUGUUGUCUUUACUGCUGGAAAAGAUCACGUUAAUACUGGCUCUGAUUUGGAAAUUCCAAAGGCCACAGAAAUGCGGGAGAAUGAUCUCUCUUCAUCUAAAAAAGAAGUGGAUCAGAAGCCUUUUUCUGAAUCUGGGAUGAAUAGCUCAGGGAAAUCCAUGGAUCCCACUUAUGUUUCUCCUCUUGGUUUGCUGAGCGAAAGAUCCAAGGAGAACAGCAAAAAAUCUGAGCCAUUUGUGCGUUUUGAUAAACAAGAAUGUGAAUCAAAGUCAGAGCUUCCUGCUAGCUUAUGUGAGUCAGCAAAUAUUGAAUCUAGUCCGCCUUCAUCUUCACACGGUGUGUCAGAUGUUAACAACUUAGAAAAGCAAAUUUGCAAUAAAGUGUCCUCUAAAAUGUUAGAUAAUAAUGAUUCCACCGUAAAAAAUGCAGAAAAGUCCAGUGCAGAAGACCAUCAAGAUUCUACUUCAACAUAUGAUGUAAAGCAAGCGGACCAAGAUGACAGACGGCCCAAUCGUGUUCAGAGUUCUGAAACUAGUACUGUAAAGAGAGAAUGUGUUGGCUUCUCUUCGGAUAUUUCCCAUAGUGUCGAGUGGAUUGGUGAUGCACUAGAAGUUGUCAAUGGCAAGAAAUUUUACUCUUCUUGCUGCGUUGGUGGAGUAACAUACAAAGUGAAGGAGCACGCGCUUUUUCGUUUGAGUAAUGACAAAUUGACACCAUUUAAACUUCAGGCAAUGUGGGAGGAUUGUGAAACUGGUUUGAAGUGGUUUGACAUUACCAGGUGUUAUUUUCCUGGCGACUUGCCAAAUAAUGUGGCUCAUCCAUUUGUCCCUGACAGCAACGAGGUUUUUGAAUCUAAUCGUGAUAGUAGUGUAAUGGCCUGCUCGAUUCAAGGCCCAUGUGAGGUUCUUCCGCCUGCCAAAUAUAAAGAAGAAACUGAAAGACGAAGUCAUAUAGGAAGCGAAGCGAAUGUUAAAUUGAGACCUCUCUUUCUGUGCAAUUGGUUUUAUGAUGAACUGAAAGGUCAUUUUCAAGCUGUUUCUAUUUAGUUCGGCAGACGCAUCCUUUAGGCAUGCAGACAGCUUGGCCAGUGGUGAGUGCAUGGUCCUCGUACAGUAAUGAAAUACGCUAUGGUAGGGGGAGGCCUCCAAGACCUUUUGUAAAAUAUGUAGAAGUGGUCUGUUAGUGUUUUUUAAGAAAUUAUCCGGUGAUUUUCCCAUCCCUAUUCUUUGUACGCGUUAGUUUUAUUAAUUUAAGCCCUUUUUGUUUUUGAAUUUUU